rnacentral:lncRNA from 1 species
GCAACACUGCUUUGUUGCACUGGUGCUUCAGUAUCAACUGCUUCAGCAACUUCAUUUUCUGCUACAGUAGCUUCUCUUUCUUCUAAUGAUUCCUGGUUCUGUGCUUGAAUAUUUACAGGUGGAUCCCUUGUUGCUGUGUCAUACUCUGGUACUGUCUCCUCAGAUGUUAGCAUGUUGCUCUGGUUGGCUGUUUCUUCAAUCUUUUCAUUCGCUGGGCCACUGGUUUCUUCAGCAUAUUCUUGAUUGAGCACUUCAAGGGUAUCAGUUGCUGGCUCAUCGGCUUUAGAUUUAGGCACCUCUUCUUGCACCACGUCUGCAUCCAUUGCAUCAGCUUGCUGGUUGUGCUGAUCUUCUACAUUGGCCACCUCUUCUAAAGGUUCUGUGGUAGAUGUAUCUUCUAGAAAACUCUCUUUGUUUUCAGGAUGGAUAACACCUUCUGCUUUAACUAGUUCAUCUGUUCCUGUGUUUCCAUCAGUAGUAUCUGCAAUGGCAUCAGAGAUGUCCAGAUUGAUCUCCACAGGAGUUUGAAAUCCAGAAGGUGCUUCGGUUAUAACCUCAACCUCAGGAAUGUUUGCCGUGCUUGCAGGUUGUGUGUUCUCUAUUGCAUUUUCUGGUCCUAGAUCUUGGUAUCGCUGACCUUCUUUUGUUUGCCCAGUAGCUUCCAUCAUGUCUUCUUGCACUGUAUUAUUUGCAACACCUAAAUUAUGUUGGUCUUCUGGAACUGCCUCCUCAAAAGCAACACUGCUUUGUUGCACUGGUGCUUCAGUAUGAACUGCUUCAGCCACUUCUCUUUCUUCUACAGUAGCUUCUCCUUCAUCUACUGGUUCCUGGUUCUGCGCUUGAAUAUUUACAGGUUGAUCCCUUGUUGCCGCGUCAUAUUUUGGUAUUGUCUCCUCAGAUGCUGGCAUGUUGCUCUGGUUGGUUGCUUCUUCAGUCUCUUCAUUCACUGGGCUAUUGGUUUCUUCAAUAGAUUCUUGAUUCAGCACUUCAAGAGCAUCAGCUGUUGGCUCAUCAGCAUGUUCAGAUUUAGGCACAUCUUCCUGCACCACGUCUGCAUCCAUUGCUUCAGCUUGCUGGCUCUGUCUAUCUUCUACUUUGAUCACCUCUUCUGUAG